AUACGUAGGGUGCAAGCGUUAAUCGGAAUUACUGGGCGUAAAGCGUGCGCAGGCGGUUUUGUCAGACAGAGGUGAAAACCCCGGGCUCAACCUGGGAACUGCCUUUGAGAAUGAAAGGCAAGAGGACGGCAGAGGGUGAUGGAAUUCCGCGUGGAGCAGAGAAAUGCGUAGAUAUGAGGAGGAACACCGAUGGAGAAGGCAAUCCCGUGGGCCUGUACUGACGCUCAUGCACGAAAGCGUGGGGAGCAAACAGGAUUAGAUACCCUGGUAGUCCACGCCCUAAUCGAUGUCAACUGGUUGUUGGGUCUUCAUUGACUCAGUAACGAAGCUAACGCGUGAAGUUGACCGCCUGGGGAGUACGGCCGCAAGGUUGAAACUCAAAUGAAUUGACGGGG
rnacentral:rRNA from 1 species